CAGUCGCCGCGGUAAAACGGAGGGUGCAAGCGUUAAUCGGAAUUACUGGGCGUAAAGGGCUCGUAGGCGGUUUGUUGCGUCGGGAGUGAAAACCCAGGGCUUAACUUUGGGCUUGCUUUCGAUACGGGCAGACUUGAGGCAUUGAGGGGAGAACGGAAUUCCUGGUGUAGCGGUGAAAUGCGCAGAUAUCAGGAGGAACACCGGUGGCGAAGGCGGUUCUCUGGCAAUGUUCUGACGCUGGGGAGCGAAAGUGUGGGGAGCGAACAGGAUUAGAUACCCCAGUAGUCCCUGUCUCUUAUAC
rnacentral:rRNA from 1 species